UACGUAGGUCCCGAGCGUUGUCCGGAUUUAUUGGGCGUAAAGCGAGCGCAGGUGGUUUAUUAAGUCUGGUGUAAAAGGCAGUGGCUCAACCAUUGUAUGCAUUGGAAACUGGUAGACUUGAGUGCAGGAGAGGAGAGUGGAAUUCCAUGUGUAGCGGUGAAAUGCGUAGAUAUAUGGAGGAACACCGGUGGCGAAAGCGGCUCUCCGGCCUGUAACUGACACUGAGGCUCGAAAGCAUGGGGAGCAAACAGG
rnacentral:rRNA from 1 species